UAUACUUACAAAUCUAAAAUCUCUUUUAUGUCCAGGUUGGAGCUACUCUGGUUGCUAUUUGUAUCUUGUUGGAAAUCAAGGUCGGAUGUUCAGUAAUCUAACCUGCACAUGGCAUACUUAUUCAUAUUCCCCAAAGCCAUUUUCCCUAUUAGUCCUAGCGCUGCAGACUUGGGAGAGACUUUAUGAUCCCUGAACUUUGGUAGUCGAGUCAAGGGAAUCGAAUAUGGUCCAGCUCGCAAGCAGACAGAUUUUUCUGAGCUCCUCAAGUAUAAGCAUCUGGCUAAGAAAUCAAAGCAUGAUGAAAAAGAAGCAAAGAAACUGCAGGACAAUGUACAAUCUUUGCAGCUAAGACUUUCUGCCAUAGAGCAUAUCUGCAGAAAUCUCCAAGAGAAGGUAUUGUUGCUACUCUCUCUCUCAAGAUGAUAUCUGCAGUCUGCUUGGUCAACUUGUCCUAAGUUGACAUUGUUUGCAGUAAUCGAUCAAAAGUUUAUAAAUAUAAACUAAAUAACUUUCAUAUUUGGUUGGUUGCUUUUUUGUUCUGUUCUGUGAGAUAUUGGU